AAGUGCAGCCAUGGAACGCUGCCAAGAGACCGGCGCGUUUACGCACCUCGACGUACCUUGGUCUUCGUCGCCUCUUUUUGCAUCUUCCCGAGCGGCCUAAGAGGUCCGGUACAGCCGACGCCGCGGUUUGUCGAAGAAAUGCCGGGUUAACAUCUUCGCCGUCAUGACAGGCUUCAAGCCGAUUCCUCUUUGGAAUCUUGAAAUCAGACCUACGGAAGUCCUGGGAAAGCGCGGUAGCGGCAGCGAAGGAAGUAGCUGUAUCUCGGAGUCGUAUAUCCUACGGCGCAGAACACAAGCCACUUCCUGCGCUGCCCAGCCCCGCCCCGUCCGGCCUGGUAUUCGCGAGGAACUGACCUGGGGUUCUGGACUCGGCUCGCGUUCGAACGCGCGCCUUUUUCGUCUGCACUCUUCGACGCCGGAUUGAUGGGCGGGAUAAUCUGAAAAUGACAGACAUGGGAAGAGAGGGCGGAGACGAAGACAGUGGCGACGCAGCUCCCAAACUCAAGCCAAACGUCCACUACGCCAAGUCCAGGAACGGCGUGUUGUCCAUCAUCGAAAUGAUACUGAGCCUGCUGGCCUUCAUCAGCGUGGAGUCAGUGGCAGAGUGCAGAGGACACUUCAACUGUGCUCCCCCGGGCUACCUGCAUUCCUAUAGAUUCUUUGCUUUCGUCACCUUUACCUCCUUCAUCUUGACGGGUGCCAUCUUCGCAGCGCGCAUGUUGGGGACCACAGAGAGAGUGCCAUUGCCCGUCAAAUACAGGCUCUUUGCGGAAUGCCUGUACCUUGCCAUCACCAUCGUCCUGUACUUCUUCGCCAAUGCUUUUAUGAUUGCGCAUCAUGGCAAUAGGCUUGGAUACCAAUGCGCUGCUGUGUUCGGUGUUGUUGCCAUGGCUUUUUACUGCAUCCAGCUGGCCAUGUACCUCGGAGAAUACCAGUUCUCGGAGGUGUUACCAUUCCGAGCCGCCCAGGCCAAGGAAAAUCAACACGGAGACGAUAAUGGUUCCAGGCUCUCGUGGGAAGCACCGCCGGGCGUCAAUAACUCUGAUGGACAAGACAGUGGGUCCAACUUGGGCCCCGUUGUCCUAAGGCCUCGGCGAAACUCUGUCGACUCCAGGUCCGUUAGUCCAAAUUUAAAAGUGGACAGGAUUGACCGUACAGAAUCCGCCAAAACUUCACGAAGUGUCUCUAGAAAUUCGGAGUGUGCUGAAACAGCAAGCAUUAAUAGCAGCAACUUUGUCUCCGUGGAUCUUGAUGGAGUUACAAGUGCACCUCGCAGCAAUACCAUUGCAACAUGACUUGCAGCCUCCAUCAUGUGGAGUGCUAUUAGUCUGUGAUACAUAUUUGUAUUUAAGCUGGUUGAUGGUUACAGUAUGGUGCUUGGGGAGGGAGGGAGAUAUCAGACUUCCAAUGGGGUGGUCCUCUGACCCCUGGACAGAUCACCCAGUGCAAGGCCAUUUGAGCAUGUGGCCAUCUUAGUAUGUCCAGGGUUAUGCUAGUAGUGUUCCAAGUUUACUCAUGUGCAUGUCCAUUACAUGUUCCUGGGUUGAUGUCUGCUAUUCACAAUGUUCUUUCAAAGUGAUCGAGUCAUUGAAAACAUUUUCUGUUUGGUAUACAUUCUAUUGAACCCUGCAUGUCAUGAUUGUUUUUUUUCUGAAUUUUUACUGUUGCCAUACCAUAAUUUCCUUCCCUACAGUUCUCUAUUCUUAAAUGUUAUCAGCCUUACUUUUGAGUGCUUUGAUCAGUGUCUUGGUUUUAAUCUGUGAUGUCAAUAAUGGUUUACACAAAUUUCAAGGCCAAAUGUUUUGUAAUGAUUGUCACAAUAAAUAAUUUGUGGCUGGACCACAAAAAAUAGGCA